rnacentral:rRNA from 1 species
GCCUAACACAUGCAAGUCGAGCGGAGUCAGUAAGAGGAAGUUUCGGAUGGAAUCUGUUGAUUAGCGGCGGACGGGUGAGUAACGCGUGAGCGACCAACCUUGCACAGGGGGAUAACGGACCGAAAGGUUCACUAAUACCGCAUGAGACCACGGUGUUGCAUGACACAGAGGUCAAAGGAGCAAUCCGGUGCAAGACGGGCUCGCGUCCGAUUAGGUAGUUGGAGGGGUAACGGCCCACCAAGCCUAUGAUCGGUAGCCGACCUGAGAGGGUGAUCGGCCACAUUGGAACUGAGAUACGGUCCAAACUCCUACGGGAGGCAGCAGUGGGGAAUAUUGGGCAAAUGGGGGAAACCCUGACCCAGCAACGCCGCGUGAAGGAAGAAGGUUUUCGGAUUGUAAACUUCUGUCCUUGGUGAAGAGAAGAAGACGGUAGCCAAGGAGGAAGCCCCGGCUAACUACGUGCCAGCAGCCGC